rnacentral:rRNA from 1 species
AUGGCCGGCGCCGCCUGGCCGCUCUCCGCCGCCGCGGGCCUCCUCCCCGCCUCCCUUUCGCUGACCCNNNNNNNNNNNNNNNNNGUCGUCGUGCUCGUGCUGGGCGUCGCCGCGGUAUUCCUCGAGCACAUCCGCAAGAUCGGAUGCAUGCACUCGAUUGAGAGGACCGCCGUCUCGGACGCCUUCUUCGAGGACCCUGGCUCGCUCAAGAAGGUUCCCUGCCCGUCGAUUUUUGACCCUGCCGAGAAGUACAUUUCGUUGAUCGUUCCUGCUUACAACGAGGAGUGUCGGCUCCCGGAGGCUCUUACAGAGACGCUCAACUACCUGAAACAACGCUCAUCUGCCGACAAGUCAUUUACUUAUGAGGUAUUGAUUGUCGAUGAUGGAAGUACUGACCGUACCUCAAAAGUUGCCUUUGAGUAUGUAAAGAAGCACAACAUUGACAAUGUUCGAGUUCUUCUACUUGGAAGGAACCAUGGGAAAGGUGAAGCCGUCAGAAAAGGGAUGCUCCAUUCCAGGGGUCAACUCCUACUCAUGCUUGAUGCUGAUGGUGCAACUAAGGUCACUGAUUUGGCAAAGCUUGAAGCUGAGGUUCUUGCAUUGGCGGGGAAAGCACUCUCUGCUAGUUCAUCCCAGAGGCUAUCUGAUGUUGAAAUUGCUGUUUUUGGUUCCCGUGCUCAUCUGGAGAAGCAGGCUCUUGCCACGAGGAAAUGGUACCGGAACUUCCUUAUGAAAGGUUUCCACUUGGUAGUACUGUUGACCGCUGGUCCUGGAAUCAGAGAUACACAGUGUGGCUUCAAGAUGUUCACUCGAUCUGCUGCAAGGAAACUCUUUACAAACAUCAGACUUAAGAGGUGGUGUUUUGAUGUUGAGAUUGUGUACCUAUGCAAGCACCUGAGGAUCCCGAUGGCAGAAGUAUCUGUCAGCUGGACGGAGAUACCUGGGUCCAAAGUGCGCAUGACAAGCAUCCUGCACAUGGUGUUUGAGCUCCUGCUGAUCAGAGUAGGCUAUGGGCUGGGCAUAUGGAAAAUUUACUCAUAG